rnacentral:tRNA from 1 species
GCCUGCGUAGCUCAGUUGAUAGAGCGCAACACUCGUAAUGUUGAGGUCGUCGGUUUGAUCCCGGCCGCAGGCU